CCCGGGGGAGGGCGAGGGCGAGGGCGAGGACGAGGACGAGAAGAAGAAAAAGAGAGAAAGAGAAAGAGAAAGAGCGAAAGAGGAGGAGAAGGGGGGACAGAGCGGCAGAGAGAGGUGUAAGAGACUGCAUCGGACGGUCUGGACUGGAGGCGUGGAAAUCCAUUUUCUUGCUGCGUAUCCAGACCCCGAUCCCAGCGGACCAGGCGCAGCCACCAGCUCCACGAGGGCCUAGCCACCGGCUUUGCCAAAAAAAAAAAUCUGCACUGUGUUGUUGAAGGGAAAAACUGCAAAAGAAAAGGCAAAAUGCUUAUGACUUUGUUAACGCUUUAUUUUGGGGCAUUUGUUUUGUUAACUGUCAUUGUAAUAAUUUUGAUGAUUUAUGUUUGUUUACCCUGUGAUUGCCAUUGUGGGCGAUCGCCGCCUUUACCUAAUUCCCCAGAGCCGUGAACAAGUAAUGCGACCUGGGACACGUUUUUGGUUUUAUAAGAUAAGAUGUUGUUAAUUAGAUUUAGAUACGUUAAGAUAAUUUAGAUAACUAAGAUGUUGUUGUUUAACUUAGAAAUGUUGUAUUUAGAAAAGCUGUUUUUAAUUAGUAUAACCAUCGUGACAUAUUUUUGUUUGUUUUUUAAUGAGCAUUUACAUAUUUUUUUUAUACCAAUAUAGAAUGGGCCUUAGGAAACCAAGUCGCUUAAGCUGUACGCAUCUACCUCACGCGCCUUCUACCUCUAUCCUUUUCUUUCCUGUCUUUUUCUCCUCUGCGGCCAGCACCUUAUCUUGCUCUUUCUCUUUUUCUCUCCUGCCGCACCUUAUCUCACCCUUUGUCUUUCUCGCCGAGUUAACCUCGUUUGAUGUAUAUAGUUUGAUGUUAUGAUAUAUAUUUUGUUAAAGUUUGGAAAAAAAAAAAGCUAUUAACCUGCGAA